rnacentral:rRNA from 1 species
AGGCGCACCAAGGCAAAGACGGGUAGCGGGACUGAGAGGUUGACCCGCAACAUACGGGACUGAGACACUGCCCGGACCUCCACGGAGGGCUGCAGAAACGAAUAUAUGCGCAAUGGGCGAAAGCCUGACGCAGCGACGCCGCGUGCGGGAGGAAGUCCCUCGGGAUGUAAACCGCUGUCAGGGUGACGAAAGUAAGCUCCGGCUAAAUUGAUCUACCCCAAAGGAAGUCACGGCUAACUAUCGUGCCAGCAGCCGCGGUAUGACGAAGGUGGCUAGCGUUGUUUUCGGUAUCACUGGGCUUUAAGCGUAUUCAAGGCGGAAUUGACAGCGUCAAUGUGAAAUCCCUCAGUUAAAUUAGAGGAAUUUGCAUAGGCGAACUGCCAUUCUUUGAGGCAAGUAAAGGGUGCAUAAGAAUUACUUGGUAGGAGCGGUGGAAUGCGUAAGAUAUCAAGGAGGAAUGCCGAUAGGAGAAAAUCAGUGCACAGGGCUUGUCCUAGACGCUCAGAUACGAAAGCGUGGGGAGCGAACGGGAUUAGAUACCCCGGUAGUCCACGCCGUAAACGAUGUCUACUAGGUUGUGGCGGUUCUGACGCCGGCACGGCCGAAGCAAAAGUGUUAAGUAGACCGCCUGGGAAGUACGGUCGCAAGGCUAAAACUCAAAGGAAUUGACGGGGGCUCACACAAGCGGUGGAGCAUGUGGAUUAAUUCGAAGCAACGCGCAGAACCUUACCUGGGUUUGACAUGCUUGGAUGCUUUCCUGGAAACAGGUAAAGCUACCCUUCGGGGUGAAACUUGCACAGGUGCUGCAUGGCUGUCGUCAGCUCGUGUCGUGAGACGUCGGGUUAAGUCCUUUAACGAGCGAAACCCUUGCCGUUAGUUACCAGCGGGUUAUGCCGGGCACUCUAACGGGACU